UGGCUACAAAAUACAAAACAUAAGGGCCACUUCUUUCACUAUGCUACUGGAUUCAUUAGAGUACGGAAAUAGUCAUACACUCAGACUUGUGGAUCCACGGAAUCCUCAUAGACUUUAAAGAGUAGCUCUGCCUGUGGUUCCUCAUUUUUUUCCUCAUAUAGGGGAGGGGCGUGGAAAGAGUGAGUUCCAUAUUCUCAGUAAGAAAAACAAUAUUAAAUUAACAUCGUAAGAUUUCAAC
rnacentral:lncRNA from 1 species